CCUGGUUCGCCCUCCGUGAACCAUCGUGACGGAACCUAGUCUCUACGACUAGGUAAGCCUAACUUUGUGGAAGAUAACCAAACUUGCGGAAGUAAAACAAUUUAAAAAUAGAAAUAAGGCAAAUACAGCAUGUAAAUGCGCCACACAACAUACACCAUGUUUAACUCUUAACACCAAACAUAAAUCCAAGACCUGAAAACCCACAAAUCACAAGCUAAGAAAGAAAUACUACAUAGCUCUAACUCCAGAAUUUCUAAUAAAGAACAGAAAAGUAUAAAAGAGCUAAAUACUAAAGGCAGGAAUAAAAAGGGAUUCCUUGGUCUGUGGACGCGGCAGAUGUACGUCGGAGUCUCUAAGCAGUUGCCUCUCUCAACGAUAGUAGGACUGAUCAGCGAUACCUAGAUCUGCACAUGAAAAACUUGCACAGGGAACUACUGGAAUCCCGUUCCAUAGUCCCAAAUGUAAUUACCUAGUACUGGAAGAAUCUACCAGGAAUCUCACACGUAGUCCCAAAGUAAACAGACCAGGGGGGAGCUACCGGAAUCCCACAUUCGUAGUCCCAAUGUAAAUACACAACGGCAGCAAGAAAUAUUUAGAGAAGGGAAAUUUCAUAUUAAGGCAAGAAAUAAUUCUAGCCUAGCAUGCUGCAUGGAGUUCAGGUAAACAGAUUUGAAUAAUUAAAGCAAUUAAAUCACUUAGACCUGCUUUCCUAAGCUAACAACAGGUUUAAUAGCACAAAUAAUAAAAAAACAGGAUAAGGAACAUACUGAUAAGUACUUGAAGAAAACCGAAUUUUCAACAAUUUGCACAAGUACGCACUCGUCACUUCACGUACAAGGCAUUUCAAUUACCAAAUAUAUCAAUCCUAAGGGAAAGGUCCCCCACACAAGGUUAGAUAAGCCACUUACCUCGAACCGGCUCAAAAUCAACUCAAAACCACACUUUUUCCACGAGUAUACGACUCUAAAUGGCCCAAAUCUAUUCAAUUCAAUCAUAUAUUGUAAAUAAUACUUCAAGUAACUGAUUCUACAAUUAAAAUUUAAGCUAAUACACGAAAACAUGUAAAAUGACCAAAACACCCCUCAGGCCAACAUCUCAGAAUCGGGUGAAAUUUAUAUUUCCAGAACCCUCAUACUCUCACGAGUUUAUACAUAACAAAAACACUGAAAUCGGAGUCCAAAUGGCCCCUCAAAUCCUCAAUUAAAGGUCUCUUAAACUCAAGCCCUAAUUACCCAUUUUUCUCAAAUUUCUCACCAUUAAUUAGGUCUUUAAUCACAUAAAAACGAGUGAUGAAGUCAAGGAUAUUACCUAUUUCCCUUUGCUUUCCUCAAGAAUCCCUCUUAAAAGCUCUAAACCCGGAUGAAAAUGGUGGAAGAAUAGCCAAAAUUCGCUAAGGCAACUAUUUAUAUGUUCUGCCUAGCGAUUUCCGCAUUUGCGGCCCUGGGACCGCAUCUGGGGUCCCGCUUCUGCGGAACAAGUAUCGCAUCUGCAACUUUGAUUAAAUGGCCAAUUUUCCGCACUGCGGUUUUCCACUCGCAGAUGCGGUUCCGCUUCUACAGAAGAUCCACCACAUCUGCGGAACCUACUUAACAAACCAAAAUUCGCUUCUGCGGUCUCCUUAGCCGCAUCUGCAGCGCCGCAUCUGCGGUCCCCAAGCCGCAGAUGCAAAAAUAGCAGAAGCAGCAAUGCUACAGCUGCUGCAACACUCCUUCAACCUUCCCGUCAACCAUCCGAAAUCAUCCCGAGGCCCCCGGGACCUCAACCAAAAGCGCCAACAUCACCUAAUACCUUAUUCAAACUUGUACCAAUCCUUAAAACACCUAAAACAACAUCGGAAACUCGAAUUAAUCAAGGACUUAAGCUUAAGAACUCCAAUUUCCUCCAAAUACGCUUUCGAUAAAAAACCUAACCAAAACACAUCCGAAUGACCUGAAAUCUUGCACACACAUCCCAAAUGACAUGACAGAACUACUGCAAACUUCCGGAAUUCCAUUCCGAACCUCGGAUCAAAAUCUCACUAUCAAACCGGAAACUUCAAAAAUUCAACCUUCGGCAUUUCAAGCCUAAAUGAGCUACGGACCUCCAAAACACUAUCCGAACACGCUCCCAACCCCAAAAUCACCCAUCGGAGCUAAAGGAAUAUUCUGAGGCCGUCCUUACACUACUCCGACUAUGGUCAACUUCUCAACACUUAAGCUCUCAUUUAGGGAUUUAGUGUCCCAAAACUCUCCUAAACUCAGAACCGAACAUCCCGGCAAACCAAAAUAACAGAAAUAAACAUGAAAAAAGUAGUUAAUAGGAGAUCGGGGCAUUGAUUCUUAAGACGACUGGCCGGGUCGUCAUAAUAUGAAGCACUAGAGCAAGGUAAAGUUUACCUUAAGAACAUUAUUGUCUUAAAAAAUCCCUUCCUCAUCGGAAUUGGAUUGACCAACUAAUUUGUUAUUCCUCUUCUCCUCUUUGGCUAAACCUCCAUUACUAGAUUUUCUGAAAGUAGCUUAUAAGAGAGAAUUUAACCAAAGAGACCACGUAAGUCUGCAUUUAAGAAACCAAACCUCCCUUUUCUAUGCUUUUGCUGAUGCUUUGC
rnacentral:lncRNA from 1 species